rnacentral:rRNA from 1 species
GUGGGGAAUUUUGCACAAUGGGGGCAACCCUGAUGCAGCGACGCCGCGUGAUUUAGAAGGCCUUCGGGUUGUAAAAAUCUUUUGUAUAGGAAGAAAAUGACAGUACUAUACGAAUAAGGUCCGGCUAAUUACGUGCCAGCAGCCGCGGUAAUACGUAAGGACCGAGCGUUGUCCGGAAUCAUUGGGCGUAAAGGGUACGUAGGCGGUUAGAAAAGUUAGAAGUGAAAGGCUAUAGCUCAACUAUAGUAAGCUUUUAAAACUGUUUAACUUGAGAGAUGGAAGGGAAAGUGGAAUUCCUAGUGUAGCGGUGAAAUGCGCAGAUAUUAGGAGGAAUACCGGUGGCGAAGGCGACUUUCUGGCCAUUAUCUGACGCUGAGGUACGAAAGCGUGGGUAGCAAACAGG